ensembl:snRNA U6 U6 spliceosomal RNA
GUGCCUCCUUUGGCAGCACAUAUACUAAAACUAGAAUGAUAUAGAGAAGACUAGCAUGGCCCCUGUGCAAGGAUGAAACACAAAUUUGUGAAACAUUUCAUAUUUUU